GGGUUGUGAGGUUAAGCGACUAAGCGUACACGGUGGAUGCCCUGGCAGUCAGAGGCGAUGAAGGACGUGCUAAUCUGCGAUAAGCGUCGGUAAGGUGAUAUGAACCGUUAUAACCGGCGAUUUCCGAAUGGGGAAACCCAGUGUGUUUCGACACACUAUCAUUAACUGAAUCCAUAGGUUAAUGAGGCGAACCGGGGGAACUGAAACAUCUAAGUACCCCGAGGAAAAGAAAUCAACCGAGAUUCCCCCAGUAGCGGCGAGCGAACGGGGAGCAGCCCAGAGCCUGAAUCAGUGUGUGUGUUAGUGGAAGCGUCUGGAAAGGCGCGCGAUACAGGGUGACAGCCCCGUACACAAAAAUGCACAUACUGUGAGCUCGAUGAGUAGGGCGGGACACGUGGUAUCCUGUCUGAAUAUGGGGGGACCAUCCUCCAAGGCUAAAUACUCCUGACUGACCGAUAGUGAACCAGUACCGUGAGGGAAAGGCGAAAAGAACCCCGGCGAGGGGAGUGAAAAAGAACCUGAAACCGUGUACGUACAAGCAGUGGGAGCCUCUUUUAUGGGGUGACUGCGUACCUUUUGUAUAAUGGGUCAGCGACUUAUAUUCUGUAGCAAGGUUAACCGAAUAGGGGAGCCGAAGGGAAACCGAGUCUUAACUGGGCGUUAAGUUGCAGGGUAUAGACCCGAAACCCGGUGAUCUAGCCAUGGGCAGGUUGAAGGUUGGGUAACACUAACUGGAGGACCGAACCGACUAAUGUUGAAAAAUUAGCGGAUGACUUGUGGCUGGGGGUGAAAGGCCAAUCAAACCGGGAGAUAGCUGGUUCUCCCCGAAAGCUAUUUAGGUAGCGCCUCGUGAAUUCAUCUCCGGGGGUAGAGCACUGUUUCGGCAAGGGGGUCAUCCCGACUUACCAACCCGAUGCAAACUGCGAAUACCGGAGAAUGUUAUCACGGGAGACACACGGCGGGUGCUAACGUCCGUCGUGAAGAGGGAAACAACCCAGACCGCCAGCUAAGGUCCCAAAGUCAUGGUUAAGUGGGAAACGAUGUGGGAAGGCCCAGACAGCCAGGAUGUUGGCUUAGAAGCAGCCAUCAUUUAAAGAAAGCGUAAUAGCUCACUGGUCGAGUCGGCCUGCGCGGAAGAUGUAACGGGGCUAAACCAUGCACCGAAGCUGCGGCAGCGACACUAUGUGUUGUUGGGUAGGGGAGCGUUCUGUAAGCCUGUGAAGGUGUGCUGUGAGGCAUGCUGGAGGUAUCAGAAGUGCGAAUGCUGACAUAAGUAACGAUAAAGCGGGUGAAAAGCCCGCUCGCCGGAAGACCAAGGGUUCCUGUCCAACGUUAAUCGGGGCAGGGUGAGUCGACCCCUAAGGCGAGGCCGAAAGGCGUAGUCGAUGGGAAACAGGUUAAUAUUCCUGUACUUGGUGUUACUGCGAAGGGGGGACGGAGAAGGCUAUGUUGGCCGGGCGACGGUUGUCCCGGUUUAAGCGUGUAGGCUGGUUUUCCAGGCAAAUCCGGAAAAUCAAGGCUGAGGCGUGAUGACGAGGCACUACGGUGCUGAAGCAACAAAUGCCCUGCUUCCAGGAAAAGCCUCUAAGCAUCAGGUAACAUCAAAUCGUACCCCAAACCGACACAGGUGGUCAGGUAGAGAAUACCAAGGCGCUUGAGAGAACUCGGGUGAAGGAACUAGGCAAAAUGGUGCCGUAACUUCGGGAGAAGGCACGCUGAUAUGUAGGUGAAGUCCCUCGCGGAUGGAGCUGAAAUCAGUCGAAGAUACCAGCUGGCUGCAACUGUUUAUUAAAAACACAGCACUGUGCAAACACGAAAGUGGACGUAUACGGUGUGACGCCUGCCCGGUGCCGGAAGGUUAAUUGAUGGGGUUAGCGGUAACGCGAAGCUCUUGAUCGAAGCCCCGGUAAACGGCGGCCGUAACUAUAACGGUCCUAAGGUAGCGAAAUUCCUUGUCGGGUAAGUUCCGACCUGCACGAAUGGCGUAAUGAUGGCCAGGCUGUCUCCACCCGAGACUCAGUGAAAUUGAACUCGCUGUGAAGAUGCAGUGUACCCGCGGCAAGACGGAAAGACCCCGUGAACCUUUACUAUAGCUUGACACUGAACAUUGAGCCUUGAUGUGUAGGAUAGGUGGGAGGCUUUGAAGUGUGGACGCCAGUCUGCAUGGAGCCGACCUUGAAAUACCACCCUUUAAUGUUUGAUGUUCUAACGUUGACCCGUGAUCCGGGUUGCGGACAGUGUCUGGUGGGUAGUUUGACUGGGGCGGUCUCCUCCUAAAGAGUAACGGAGGAGCACGAAGGUUGGCUAAUCCUGGUCGGACAUCAGGAGGUUAGUGCAAUGGCAUAAGCCAGCUUGACUGCGAGCGUGACGGCGCGAGCAGGUGCGAAAGCAGGUCAUAGUGAUCCGGUGGUUCUGAAUGGAAGGGCCAUCGCUCAACGGAUAAAAGGUACUCCGGGGAUAACAGGCUGAUACCGCCCAAGAGUUCAUAUCGACGGCGGUGUUUGGCACCUCGAUGUCGGCUCAUCACAUCCUGGGGCUGAAGUAGGUCCCAAGGGUAUGGCUGUUCGCCAUUUAAAGUGGUACGCGAGCUGGGUUUAGAACGUCGUGAGACAGUUCGGUCCCUAUCUGCCGUGGGCGCUGGAGAACUGAGGGGGGCUGCUCCUAGUACGAGAGGACCGGAGUGGACGCAUCACUGGUGUUCGGGUUGUCAUGCCAAUGGCACUGCCCGGUAGCUAAAUGCGGAAGAGAUAAGUGCUGAAAGCAUCUAAGCACGAAACUUGCCCCGAGAUGAGUUCUCCCUGACUCCUUGAGAGUCCUGAAGGAACGUUGAAGACGACGACGUUGAUAGGCCGGGUGUGUAAGCGCAGCGAUGCGUUGAGCUAACCGGUACUAAUGAACCGUGAGGCUUAACCUUACAACGCCGAAGGUGUUU
rnacentral:rRNA from 1 species